AUGCAUCCAGAAUGGCGAUGACGAGCGGCCGAUCAGUGUGGCCAUGGUCUUACGAACGACAGAGGCUUCUCUCCCCCGCCUCUCCUCUUGCCUCUCCUCCUGCCUCUCCUCCAGGUCACAGCUGAACCUCAUCGGAAAGAGAUCGGCCUGGUACCUUUCCUUCCACUCUCCUUCUCCUCAUGCCCAUCCUUCUAUGUAUUCUACAUUUACCAAUGGACAAGAAUGACACUUCAGAUAUGAGGUUAUUGUUGUUGUAGCUUUUCAUUAUAAUUUUCUUUUACUUCUGUUGAUCUAUGUAAGAAAUUAGUUUUAUUUGCCUACUGCUGAAAAACCUAUUCACUUCAAAUAGUAAAUCAUAUCCUGUCAUUAUUCAAGAGGUAAACUCAGAAAAAGAAAGUAUCAAGAAAGCAACCAUCGUGUAUAUAUCUUAGUAUAUAUUUGCCCAUCGUUCUACAAGAUGCUAAUCGCUUCAGCUUUGGGUUAACUUGUUGGUUGGCUCCUGGAACUGAGCACAUGUUGGUAUUUCAUUGUUGUACUGGUGUAUGCAAGGGUUAUUUUCGUGCAGAGGUUUUGAACUGUGAUUUCCUUCUCUUUCAAGUCUAAAGCAUUCGACUGAUAAUUUCAGGCAGGCAUUUCAAUUUUCUGUCAUGCUUCUAGAUAUCAAACGUGGUUGAGAAAGUUCCAUUUUUAAAAGGGGCUGGAGCUCCAUGGCUUACAGAUCUAACGACCCUUGAUGCUCUUUGCAUAUUUCCCAUGAUAACAUCAAUGUUCGUCAUGCUUCCCUUUGAGGAGCGGCAGGUGCAGAUGCGUGUGCGAGGAGCGCCGUCGGUCGACCGGCGUUCUUUCUUCGUCAGGAAGGGUGCAGCCUGCUACUCAAGCCCCUCUCCUUCGCUCCUUGCAGAGCAGGAGAGGCAUGGGCACCACCACACUUGAGAGAUGGACGAGGACAUGAAGCUUUCGUGGAGAGGACGAGGUGGCCGCCGCAGCACCCCCACGCCGCGGACGCGGAGAUUCCCAUCCUGUCUGCCCCCGAUAACCACUUCGGCGGCGCCAUGAACGGAAACAAUCGCCUCUUCUCGGCAGGCGCAGACCGCAUGGUCGUCUUCCUCUCCGGCUUCUUCUGCACCAUCAGACUCAGACCCUCUCCCGCUCCCUCUCCCUCUGCAUCUCUGUAAAAAUAUGCUCAGGUCAACUAGGAGAUGAUGCAAGCCAAGGCGCUCACACCAAUUUAAGAUGGUGUGGGUGAUCAAUAGAAGACAAAUGAAUACACUGAUGGAAGGCCAUGUCAAAGUACCUUGUGGUCAGCGGACUUGCCAAGGUAGCGGUGUUUGACCUAGGGUUGUGGCCAUCAUUAUGCUUGAUCGCGAGAUGGCACUAUCCCCUGCGUUGCUGUGGUCACUGAUGUGGGAGGAACGAUCGGUCAUCGCUCGAUCUCAAGAUGACCAUGACACCUAGGCUGUGGUCAUGUGGCCGCCGCCGACGGGGAAGCAUUCCCAUUAAUUCUGAAUCUGCAAGUUUGGAAUCAUCUCCCCCAUUCAGCUAAGCUACACAUAUUUUGCUUCUAUUUUUUUCUUUCUAGGUCCCGGACCAUCUCCAUUCUGGUAAAUACCUCAUCACAUAAACGUCGUUGGUCCCUGGUGUGCCCAUUCCCUUCCUUGCUUUCUCCAUAUUGGUUAUGAUGCAUGGUCUCUUUCCAGCUAUGACAAAUGAUAUAUUGCAUACUGCAUACUGAUGAUAGGAUAGAUGAUUUAUGAUGUACUAUUUUAGAUAACGGUACUAAGUUUUUAUUCCAUAGAUGAUAUUUGGUUUUAUUCUACAUUUUUUUCCUUUGCAAAGAUAGAUAUUAUAAGAGAUAAAUAGCAUGUACAGGUUAACCUUUUUUUUUGCGGGGAUGUACAGGUUAACCUUAUAUAGCUUUUUUUAUGAGCGAUAAUCUAACACUUACAAGAUCAUCUUAGGAUUUCCUAAUGGAUCCUGUACACAUUCCACCAAGGAUUAUUUUAGAUGCUAUGCUGAAAGACACUAUAGCUCCCAAAAUCUUUAUACUACACCCAGCCUACAGGAAACGUUGGUAUAGAGACUGUGACUGAGUUUUAUCCAUUUCUGCAGCACUUGCCAAAGAGCACUGUCAAGAGAUUUGUUUUUCGGUCUGAGUCAUCUUGCUAUUUUUUCAGGUUUAUUUACAUAUGAAAUCACCAUAAUUUUUGCCAUGGCUCUGGUUCUAGAUAUAGUGCUUAAAAGCACUAUCCCAUCCUGAUUAUUCCCAUACAGUUUUUUGUCUCACUGAAUAUCGUCUUCGAGAAUUGGGCAAUCUUUGAGUCCAUGAAGAGCACUCGCAUGGUCAAGCACCAUGAGAUCUUCAUCCGCAAUGCCGAGUGCGUUGUGCUCUUCACAGACCUUGAAGAUGAGGCCAGAGAGAUCCGCCGCUUACUGGGUUCGAUCGGAUGCCAUCGAUUUCACCCACCGCCAAUGACGACAAGGCCGGUGGCUUUGGCAUUGAGCGAUAUACUUCACCUCACACGUGAAGAAAUAAGAUUUUUGAGGAUUAGGAUUAUUUAUAAAAUAUAAUGAGCAUCUUUUACCACCAAUGGAUGAAGUCUCACCGUAUUAAGACACAUGCAUCACUGUUAGUCAUCCAAGCUAAAACCACAGUCAGAUAAAUCAGCUUAAUUAUUCUACUACUUCUUUCCAGAUGACAGUUGUUAAACAAGAGGAGGUAGACACAACCAGUGAUACCAGCGGUGACCAAUUACCCAUGAUAAUUCUGAAAAACAUACUUAUGAUUGAUUGUACAUCGCAAGGAAUGUUUCUUCUUCUUCCGCACUAAUGCAUGCUAUUUGAUCAGUCUUUUUUUUAUCACUUAUGCAUGCAAGUUGAUCAAGUAUGUAAUAAAACAAACUUCUUUCAGGGUCCAGUAGGUGUUCUAUUUGCUAUUCAUUAAUGCUCUGAUUUAUUUGCUGUUACAUGUACAAGCACUGCUUACUGCCUCCCACUGACCAUAUACAAUAGAUAGUCUUUUCUACCUUUCACGAGUACACACAAGCUAAUUAGCCCCUCUGUUUGUUUAUGUUGUCCUCUAUUUGCUAUUGCAAACUCUUACCAUGAUCUCCUUAUCUAUUCAACACAAACGAACCACUGUGUCAGAAGCACAAUAAGCCAUACGAGUAAAUUCAUCGCCCACGGAAAGCAAACUCAAUCCAAAAGUUCAAAGGCAAGAAAAUCCAUGUAAAGCCUAGAAAGUACAUUCUCGGUGAUAAGAGCUACAUUACUCUUCUCAUUUCAUCAACUCUCGCAACAACCGCUAAAAGAUAUAACUUUGUACAACUUAACAUAGGUGAGCCCUGCAUCCACUACUUAGAUGAGUUUAGUCACCACAUUGUGUGGCCCAACACAGUUAAGCUCUACAACCAUAAUGUCCGUACACUACGAAAGAUCAUCCGCAGCACCACCACGCCUGAUAACUACUAUGUGUGCCACAUGACAGAAACAUUUGCAACACAAGGCAAAAGAAUGUACUUUAGCGUUCCUUUUUCUAGGGGUUCCAUUUUCCACACAUGGAUGCUGACCAUGGUGAACUGCCAAUCACUACUGGAGACGGAACUGCCGCUCUUACGGCCCGCUUUAUCAAGGGUGUUGACAAAAGGGCAACCAUCACUGAAGGCUGGAGCGAAUUCUUCCGUCAGGCACACAUGAACGAAGGGCAAGUAUACGCUUUCGCCUUCAAAUGCACUUCCAAGGGACCGUGCCUGAUCGUCUACUCAAUAUAAGCAAGUUGCAAGAGCCCCUUGUUAUAUAACUUAGUAUUAGUAUAGAUGCCUACCAAGACUUCCGUGUUUAUCAUCCUUUUGGAUCUUAUGUAAUCCCCUAAGACCAUCCUGUGCAUUUAGCUAUCGGUUAUUUGCUACUUAUACUGCUAUGUGGUAUGCUUUUGAAACAACCUUGAUGGAAGAAAUAUAUGCUUUCACCUUUAAGUGCA